rnacentral:rRNA from 1 species
GUGUCAGCAGCCGCGGUAAUACGUAGGGGGCGAGCGUUGUCCGGAUUUAUUGGGCGUAAAGGGCGUGUAGGCGGCCUGUUAAGUCGGGAGUGAAACUCCGCAGCUCAACUGCGGACCUGCUUCCGAUACUGGCGGGCUUGAGUACUCUAGAGGGCAGUGGAAUUCCCGGUGUAGCAGUGAAAUGCGUAGAGAUCGGGAGGAACACCAGUGGCGAAGGCGGCUGCCUGGGGAGAAACUGACGCUGAGGCGCGAAAGCUGGGGGAGCAAACGGGAUUAGAUACCCCGGUAGUCCCAGCCGUAAACGAUGAGUGCUAGGUGUAGGGGGUAUCGACCCCUCCUGUGCCGCAGUUAACGCAAUAAGCACUCCGCCUGGGGAGUACGGCCGCAAGGUUGAA